UGAAAAGCCUUCACAACCUUGAUUGGAGGGAAACUCUUCCCCAACUUCGCUUCUUAGCAAGGACUGUCAGAAUGUUCAGGGAAUGGGACCUGAGCAUUGCACUGGCUGAAGUCAAGUUGCUACAGAGGUUUUGGAAUUCCUUGCCACCCAUCUCCAUGAGCAUGAGGCACAGAAUGACUGGACCCACACAUCCAUUCCCAAUUAACACAGGCACCAGAACCUCAUUUAGCAAAGGCACGCAGAUUUGGAAGGAGUGAUACCAGUAUUACUUCCCAUGGAUCAGCGCACAUUGUUGACUAGCCCAUGAAGAACAAUAUGGAUUUUUGUCACAAGAAAUAUCUUCCUCUACGACUACUUUACAUGGCUUUGAAGAUUUCCAGCUUUCUGCAAAUUCUAUAGGAUCAUUCACCAAAGCCUUUGAUUUUGUCAUUGGAUCAUCUUCUAGUAAGGAAUUAAAAUUUCCACAGAGUCCAAAUACUUUGUUCUGUAAUAGAUGUUCAUAACAAUAAAAACAGACUGCAAAACUAAAACAGUCAACAUUUUGAUCUAACAAAUAGUUUGGUAUCUGAGAUACAGAUACU